rnacentral:rRNA from 1 species
AGCAGCCGCGGUAAUUCCAGCUCCAAUAGCGUAUAUUAAAGUUGUUGCAGUUAAAAAGCUCGUAGUUGAAUUUCGAGACCGGUUUACUGGUCGUGCUUUUGUACGUACUGGUAUUAUUGGCUUCUCCUUUCUGACGAAUCAUAAUGCCAUUAAUUUGGUGUUUUGGGGAAUCAGGACUGUUAACUUUGAAAAAAUUAGAGUGUUUAAAGCAGGCUCACGCUUGAAUACAUUAGCAUGGAAUAACGAAAUAGGACGUUUGAUUUUAUUUGUUGGUUUCUAGGAUCGACGUAAUGAUUAAUAGGGAUAGUUGGGGGCAUUAGUAUUCAAUUGUCAGAGGUGAAAUUCUUGGAUUUAUUGAAGACUAACUACUGCGAAAG